UACGGGGGGAGCAAGCGUUGUUCGGAUUUACUGGGCGUAAAGGGCGCGUAGGCGGCUAGCGACAAGUCAGUUGUGAAAUCUCCGGGCUUAACUCGGAAAGGUCAACUGAUACUGUGCGACUAGAGUGCAGAAGGGGCAACUGGAAUUCUCGGUGUAGCGGUGAAAUGCGUAGAUAUCGAGAGGAACACCUGCGGCGAAGGCGGGUUGCUGGGCUGACACUGACGCUGAUGCGCGAAAGCCAGGGGAGCGAACGGG
rnacentral:rRNA from 1 species